rnacentral:rRNA from 1 species
AUUGAACGCUGGCGGCAGGCCUAACACAUGCAAGUCGAGCGGUAGAGAGAAGCUUGCUUCUCUUGAGAGCGGCGGACGGGUGAGUAAUGCCUAGGAAUCUGCCUGGUAGUGGGGGAUAACGUUCGGAAACGGACGCUAAUACCGCAUACGUCCUACGGGAGAAAGCAGGGGACCUUCGGGCCUUGCGCUAUCAGAUGAGCCUAGGUCGGAUUAGCUAGUUGGUGGGGUAAUGGCUCACCAAGGCGACGAUCCGUAACUGGUCUGAGAGGAUGAUCAGUCACACUGGAACUGAGACACGGUCCAGACUCCUACGGGAGGCAGCAGUGGGGAAUAUUGGACAAUGGGCGAAAGCCUGAUCCAGCCAUGCCGCGUGUGUGAAGAAGGUCUUCGGAUUGUAAAGCACUUUAAGUUGGGAGGAAGGGCAGUUGCCUAAUACGUAACUGUUUUGACGUUACCGACAGAAUAAGCACCGGCUAACUCUGUG